rnacentral:rRNA from 1 species
CCCUUAGAUGUUCUGGGCCGCGCGCGCGCUACACUGAAUGAAUCAGCGUGCUAGAAAACCUUGUUUGACAUGGCUAGGUAACCCAUUGAAAAUCAUUCGUGAUUGGGAUCGGGACUUGCAAAUGUGUCCCUUGAACGAGGAAUUCCUAGUAGACGUAGUUCAUCAGACUGCAUCGAUUACGUCCCUGCCCUUUGUACACACCGCCCGUCGCUCCUACCGAUUGAAUGCUCAGGUGAGCCAUUCGGACUUUCAUCAUGCUGGUUUCCAGUUUUGAUGAAGGAAAGUCUUGCGAACCUUAUCAUUUAGAGGAAGGAGAAGUCGUAACA